rnacentral:rRNA from 1 species
UACGUAGGGGGCAAGCGUUGUCCGGAAUCAUUGGGCGUAAAGAGCGUGUAGGCGGCCCGAUAAGUCCGCUGUGAAAGUCCAGGGCUCAACCCUGGGAUGCCGGUGGAUACUGUCGGGCUCGAAUCCGGAAGAGGUGAGUGGAAUCUCGGUGUAGCAGUGAAAUGCGUAGAUAUCGAGAGGAACACCUGCGGCGAAGGCGGGUUGCUGGGCUGACACUGACGCUGAAGCGCGAAAGCUAGGGGAGCGAACGGG